AUGAAGGUGGGUCUUCCUCUCCCCACAACUUCAGCAUAAGCGAGAUAGAAGAGGAUUUUGGUCAUGGCAGAAAUGAGAUUGAGAUCCUUGAUAGAAUAAACGAAGAAUCUAAGAGGAGUGGUGGUCGUGGUUUUGGUGAUGAGGAUAAUGAUGAUAACGUUUAUGUUGCAGUGGGAAAAAGCGAGACGAGCAUGGAUGCGCUUAGGUGGGCCUUGAAGAACGCUCUCAAGCCAUCCUCCUCUGUUUUUCUCAUCCAUGUCUUCCCGGAGGUUCACCAAAUUCCCACAGCCUUGGGGAAAUUCUCGAGGAGCCAAGCUAGCCCAGAGCAAGUGGAGAACUACCUGAGCCUAGAGAGAAGCAAGAGGAUUCAACUCCUCCAGAAGUUCUUGAAUCUCUGCUCUCAGGUGAGAGUAGAUACAUAUUGAUAGAGAGCGAUCUCACAGCAAAGGCCGUUUUGGAUCUCAUCCCAGUCCUCAACAUAAAGAAGCUGGUGCUAGGCACCAACAAAUCCAGCCUUAAGAAAGGGAGGAAGAAAGGGAUUGCUGAUGCGGUACAGAGGGAGGCACCAGAGUACUGCGAGGUUAGCAUCAUAUGUGAAGGAAAGGAUGUGAGCAGGGAAAUGAUGAUGAUGGUGAUGCCCACUACACCAACACAUACAACCAUGGGUACUCCUUCCCCUUCCCGUUCUCCACUCCCACCACACCUUGAUGAUGAAGCAGCAGCAAAAGCCAGCGGUGGUGGUGAUGAGGAUGGCAUUACAAGAACCCCACGCCACAGUCCACGGACUCCAAACUCUAACCCACGCCAGAGUCCUAAGAGCAAGGAAAAGGGUGAUUCCUUCUCCCUUUGUAUGUGCUUCUUCCCCAAGUCCAAGUAGGGAAGCAGUAAAAUUUUUGUCCAUUUUUUAAUUUUUUUAGCCAAAGUGUAAGCCUACCGGGGAUAGCUGAGUUGGGACAGCAUUCUACUGUACAUUUGAAGGUUGCAUUUCCAAACUCCUUCACCAGAAUAUAAAGCUGCAUUAUCACACAUUGUACAAUCAAGGUUUUAAGUAUUCUUUCGUAUCCAUCGACACUAAUUGAUAUGUAUUGUUACACGCAGUUACAUCUAACUCGUGUAACAAAUCAGUCGUAAGGAGACUCGUAUUGGAGCUAUUUGUUAACACACAGUCUUUGGACCAUCUCGUUGUACUUUGUUCUCCUUUAAAUACAACAACAA